AUCGCUUCUCGGCUCUUUUGAGCUAAGAUCAAGUGUAGUAUCUGUUCUUCCCAGUUUAAUACCUGGGACGGAAACGAUUCGUUUCCUCUAUGUAUUAAUCGGAUUUUUGAACUUGGAGUAUGGUGCUGGAGCUUGCUCCACCCUGCUCACGGGUUGUCCUGGUAUUGCAGUACCUCCAGGUUCGGCUCACGUUCU
rnacentral:snRNA from 1 species